rnacentral:rRNA from 1 species
UACGGAAGGCAGCAGUGGGGAAUAUUGCACAAUGGGCGCAAGCCUGAUGCAGCCAUGCCGCGUGUAUGAAGAAGGCCUUCGGGUUGUAAAGUACUUUCAGCGGGGAGGAAGGCGAUGUGGUUAAUAACCGCAUCGAUUGACGUUACCCGCAGAAGAAGCACCGGCUAACUCCGUGCCAGCAGCCGCGGUAAUACGGAGGGUGCAAGCGUUAAUCGGAAUUACUGGGCGUAAAGCGCACGCAGGCGGUCUGUCAAGUCGGAUGUGAAAUCCCCGGGCUUAACCUGGGAACUGCAUUCGAAACUGGCAGGCUAGAGUCUUGUAGAGGGGGUAGAAUUCCAGGUGUAGCGGUGAAAUGCGUAGAGAUCUGGAGGAAUACCGGUGGCGAAGGCGGCCCCUGGACAAAGACUGACGCUCAGGUGCGAAAGCGUGGGGAGCGAAACAGGAUUAGGAUAACC